GAUGAACGCUGGCGGCGUGCCUAAUACAUGCCAGUCGAGCGAACAGACGAGGAGCUUGCUCCUCUGACGUUAGCGGCGGACGGGUGAGUAACACGUGGAUAACCUACCUAUAAGACUGGGAUAACUUCGGGAAACCGGAGCUAAUACCGGAUAAUAUAUUGAACCGCAUGGUUCAAUAGUGGAAGACGGUUUUGCUGUCACUUAUAGAUGGAUCCGCGCCGCAUUAGCUAGUUGGUAAGGUAACGGCUUACCAAGGCGACGAUGCGUAGCCGACCUGAGAGGUUGAUCGGCCACCCUGGAACUAGGACACGUUCCAAACUCCUACGGGAGGCAGCAGUAGGGAAUCUUCCGCAAUGGGCGAAAGCCUGACGGAGCAACGCCGCGUGGGUGAUGAAGGCCUUCGGAUCGUAAAACUCUGUUAUUAGGAAAGAACAAAUGUGUAAGUACCUAUGCCCGUCUUGACGGUACCUAAUCAGAAAGCCACGGCUACUACGUG
rnacentral:rRNA from 1 species